rnacentral:rRNA from 1 species
GUUUGAUCCUGGCUCAGAAUCAACGCUGGCGGCGCGCUUAACACAUGCAAGUCGAACGAGAAAGUGGAGCAAUCCACGAGUAAAGUGGCGUACGGGUGAGUAACACGUGGGUAAUCUACCUCCGGGUGUGGAAUAACCCUGGGAAACCGGGGCUAAUACCGCAUACGCUCGGGAGAGGAAAGGCGAAAGUCGCCUGGAGAGGAGCCCGCGGCCGAUUAGCUAGUUGGUAGGGUAAAGGCCUACCAAGGCAAAGAUCGGUAGCCGGCCUGAGAGGGCACACGGCCACACUGGCACUGAAACACGGGCCAGACUCCUACGGGAGGCAGCAGUGGGGAAUCUUGCACAAUGGGGGCAACCCUGAUGCAGCGACGCCGCGUGAGUGAUGAAGCCCUUCGGGGUGUAAAGCUCUUUCGGCAGGGACGAUAAUGACGGUACCUGAAGAAGAAGCUGCGGCUAACUACGUGCCAGCAGCCGCGGUAAUACGUAGGCAGCGAGCGUUGUUCGGAGUUACUGGGCGUAAAGCGUGCGUAGGCGGUGGUCCAAGUCUGGUGUGAAAUCUCCCGGCUCAACUGGGAGGGUGCGCCGGAAACUGGGCCGCUGGAGUGUGGGAGAGGUAAGCGGAAUUCCUGGUGUAGCGGUGAAAUGCGUAGAUAUCAGGAGGAACACCUGCGGUGUAGACGGCUUACUGGACCAUGACUGACGCUGAGGCACGAAAGCGUGGGUAGCAAACAGGAUUAGAUACCCUGGUAGUCCACGCCCUAAACAAUGCAUACUUGGUGUGGGCAGUUCAGUCUGUCCGUGCCGGAGCUAACGCGUUAAGUAUGCCGCCUGGGGAGUACGGUCGCAAGGCU